UACGUAGGGUGCAAGCGUUGUCCGGAAUUAUUGGGCGUAAAGAGCGUGUAGGCGGCCCGACCAGUCCGCUGUGAAAGUCCAGGGCUCAACCCUGGAAUGCCGGUGGAUACUGUCGGGCUAGAGUCCGGAAGGGGCGAGUGGAAUUCCUGGUGUAGCGGUGAAAUGCGCAGAUAUCAGGAGGAACACCAAUGGCGAAGGCAGCUCGCUGGGACGUGACUGACGCUGAGACGCGAAAGCGUGGGGAGCAAACGGG
rnacentral:rRNA from 1 species